rnacentral:rRNA from 1 species
AAAAAAGUCUUCGGAUGACCUGUGGGUAGGGGUGAAAGGCCAAUCAAACUCGGAAAUAGCUCGUACUCCCCAAAAUGCGUUUAGGUGCAGCGUUAGUUAUAAAGUUAUAUAGAGGUAGAGCUACUGAUUGGAUGCGGGGGCUUCACCGCCUACCAAUUCCUGACAAACUCCGAAUGCUAUAUAAUGUUCACUAACAGUGAGGGCUUGGGUGCUAAGGUCCAAGUCCGAGAGGGAAAGAACCCAGACCAUCAGCUAAGGUCCCCAAAUAUACACUAAGUUGAAAGAACGAGGUUUAUCUGCCCAGACAGCUAGGAUGUUGGCUUGGAAGCAGCCAUUCAUUUAAAGAGUGCGUAACAGCUCACUAGUCGAGCGGACGAGCAUGGAUAAUAAUCGGGCAUAAGUGUAUUACCGAAGCUAUGGAUUUACAAGUAAUUGUAAGUGGUAGGGGAGCAUUCUAACAGGGUUGAAGGUGUAUCGUCAGGUAUGCUGGACUGGUUAGAAAAGAAAAUGUAGGCAUAAGUACCGAUAAUGCGGGCGAGAAACCCGCACACCGAAAAACUAAGGUUUCCACAGCUAUGCUAAUCAGCUGUGGGUUAGUCUGGUCCUAAGGCGAACCCGAAAGGGACAGUCGAUGGCUAACGGGUUAAUAUUCCCGUACUACUAAUUACUGUGAUGGGGUGACGGAGUGAUGAAAGCGCCGCGAACUGACGGAAUAGUUCGUUGAAGUACCUACCUAUAGGAUCUGCAGGCAAAUCCACAGAUCUUGGGGAAAUACGAUAGUACUCGGAGUCUUCGGACAAAGAGAUAGUGCGCCUAAGGGCUUCCAAGAAAAACCUCUAAACUUCAGGUAAUUAGUACCAGUACCGUAAACCGACACAGGUAGUUGAGGAGAGAAUCCUAAGGUGCUCGAGAGAUUCAUGGCUAAGGAAUUAGGCAAAAUAGACCUGUAACUUCGGGAGAAAGGUCGCCAGCGCAAGCUGGCCGCAGUGAAGAGGUCCAGGCGACUUUUAUCAAAAACACAGGGCUCUGCAAAAUCGUAAGAUGAAGUAUAGGGCCUGACACCAGCCCGGUGCUGGAAGGUUAAGAGGAGAUGUUAUCUUCGGAGAAGCAUUGAAUUGAAGCCCCAGUAAACGGCGGCCGUAACUAUAACGGUCCUAAGGUAGCGAAAUUCCUUGUCGGGUAAGUUCCGACCUGCACGAAUGGUGUAACGAUCUGGACACUGUCUCAGCCAUGAGCUCGGUGAAAUUGUAGUAACGGUGAAGAUGCCGUUUACCCGCAGUGGGACGAAAAGACCCUGUGCACCUUUACUAUAGCUCAGUAUUGACCUUGGAUAAAUGAUGUGUAGGAUAGGUUGGAGACUGUGAAGUGGCGUCGCCAGGCGUUGUGGAGUCAUUGC